AUAAAUUAUCACAAAAAUAAUUUUUUAUAAACUGCUAACAGUCUAAAUAAAUUGUUCUUCAUACUUUUUUGUAGCUGAAAUAUCUCCAUUUGUAAUUCAUAUUCAAUUCUAUGCUCUUAGAGAGGUAUAGAGUUUUAACUUUUCUGCGUCAAUUAGAUGUUUAGAAAAGAACAAAUUUAAGAAUACUAUGUUCCAGCCACACGCUAUCUACACUAUCUACAUGCUACCUAUACUAUUCCUUGAUAGAAAAAAUGAAAAGAUAAUUGCGAUGUGAGUGCGUCUUCAGACCUGUUGACUAGUGACAAGAUUUGAAUCUUUACUUAUUCAACUAAGACAGUGUCUUGUGGCUCAAAUACUUCACUAUAAAUUACUGAUGAUCCUGGUUGUUCAAAAUCAUGCACUACUGAAACUUAUAGUAAUAAUGAAAUAUUUGCUCUUCAAUUACCUGGUUCUUCAAAAGGUAAUCAAACUCUUACAGUUUGGUCUGGAGUAAUACCCAGAAAAGUUUUGUCACGGCAUCAAUUGAAAAACAAGAAAGAAGCUUGUCUUAAAGCUAGAAAAAACUUUCUGGGCCUGAACAACACGGGGAAUCAAUGAAUACUUAUUCAAAUUAAAUACAUAUAGCAACUGGUAUUUGUAACCCACAACUUGAGAUAUUCCAUAUCAAACUUCUGAUUCGUAUUCAUCAACACAAACCAGUCGUUAAAUAAGCCUAUUGUGCCUGAGGCAUGUUUAGUUUAAAUUAGUUAGUAUAGAUAUUAUAAUAAUUAAUAGUAUAUUUAUUUUAUUUAUUUCCAGUUACAAGCAUUUAUAUAUUUGUUUCCACACAACAAUAUGGCUUUGGAAAAUGUAUUUUAUAAUAAACUCACAACUAACUGUACACCAUAAAUUUGAGCAUGUUGUGUUGACAAUUACUGUAUGAAUAUGGUAUGGAGUGAAAUGUAAUGAACUAACAACUUGAGAUCAAAAGGUGCAAUGAGGAUAUCACUUCUGACUUCUAUAUAGAAUGGAUUGUUGGAUAAACAUAAAUUUUUUUUUUAUAGUAAGUAAUUCU